rnacentral:lncRNA from 1 species
UUCCUAGUUAAAAAGCAGCUGCAGGCCAUGCAAAGAACAGACUCUUCUUAAUCCAAGUUGUAGCCUGGGAGUGAAUCUUUUCUGAAGAAAUAAGACUUAGUACCAUCAGAACACAAGGAACACGAAGGAUUUUUUUUUUUUUUUUAAACAAGUAAACACCUGCACACACGCAAGCGCGCACGUUAGCCUGUUAGCUCCACAAGGCAGUUUGCCGCAGGCCCUCAGUAAACACUCAAAUGCGCAGCCCUUGGAAGGAGGAUUCCAGCAGGCAGCCAGUGCCCUUUAUUUAAGGAAGCAGACUGGGUCUUUGGUGUGAAGUACUUUUUAUACCACGUUGGGGAAAUCAAUCUAGGCCUCCCCUGACAGGCCUGGGAAAACACAGGUGACACCCUGUUCCUGAGAAUUUGACGCAAUUAAAACUGCACAGUACUUUUUCUGAGUCUUGCGUCUGUUAAGUGUGCAGAGUUUGGAUCCCGUGCCCAGGACCCUCCUGCAGACCCAGGCCUCGCUCUGACGAUGACGAGGCUGUGUGGCCCUAAAGCCCUAACUGCGCUGCCCUUCUGGCGAGUUCCGAAUCCCGUCCUCCUCGAGGAAGCUGAGGCCGCUGCCCUCGGUGGCUGGCGCCCGCGGCCUUGAGGGCCCCCCCACCCGCCGCUCCUGGAGCCCCGCAGGAGGGUGCAGGGUCCGGCCGCGCCCUCCCGAGGCCUCAUCCCGCGCGUGGCGGUCCCCCGGCUCCGGCGCGCCAGGCUGAGGGUCGGGCCGACCUCUCCGGGCUGCUCUGUCCUCUGCCCCACGCCGGGGGCGGGCCGGGCCGGCGGAGCCGAGCCGCCGGCGUCCAUUUUCUGGGCGGUGCUGUGCGGCGCCGCGGCCGGACUCGCGGGUCCGGAAACGCCAUGGACCCCCGGGGGAAGCGCGCCGGCGGCCGAGGAGCCGAGCCCCAUCUUGAUGUGGAGGAGAUGGAGGACUCAGUACCAACGAUUUCCAAGUGAUUUCUUCCAAAGCACGGAAAGCUAACUCUAUUAAGGCUGGUCCGUUCUAACUGAGGUAACGAAGCUUAUAUCUCUCCUUAGUCUACUUGAAAUAGAAAAUGGUUGUUCUCGAGGAACUGGAGAACUCCUAAGGGUUGUAUGAUUUAUGACAGCUAUAUCCCAAGUUUGGGGAUUACAAAGUGUCCGUGACUCUCAAACAGCAGUUAUU